UACGAACCGUGCGAAUGUUAUUCGGAAUCAUUGGGCUUACAGCGCGUGUAGGCGGAUUCGUGCGUCUGUCGUUGAAAUCCCCCGGCUCAACCGGGGAAGUGGCGCGGAUACGACGAGUCUGGAGGGGCAUAGGGGGACCUGGAACUUCCGGUGGAGCGGUGAAAUGCGGUGAGAUCGGAAGGAACGCCCGUGGCGAAAGCGAGGUCCUGGAUGACUACUGACGCUGAGACGCGAAAGCCAGGGGAGCGAACGGG
rnacentral:rRNA from 1 species